AUGGGACUGGGCGCCGUGGAGCAGGGGGCCGCGCCCAUAGGGGAGGCUCCGGCCGCACAGGAGCCCACGGAGGCGGGGGAAGGCUCAGGCAUGGCGGGCUGCAGGUCCCGAGCCCUGCCCCGCGGGAAGGCAGCUAAGGCCCGGCGAGAAAUCGAGCGCAGCACGGGUGGGCUGGCACUGCUGGGGGACCCAGUACACCCUCCGCAGCCGCUGGCCUGGGUGCUAAGCCCCUCAUUGCCCGGGCCAGCAGGGCCGGACUGCUGCUCCGAGUGCGGGGCCGCCAAGCCCACGCCCACCCGGAACUCCAGCUGGCCCUCAAGCGCUGUGCGCAGCCCCGGUUCCUGCUCGCGCCUCUUCCUCCGCACCUCCCUGCAAGCUGAGGGAGCAGACUCCGGUCUUGGCCAGCCCAGUAAUGGGCUCCCACAGUGCAGCGGUGGGCUGAAGGGCUCCUCAAGUGCCGCCGAAGUGGGAACCCAGGCAGAGGAGGCGCCGAGAGCGAGCGAGGGCUGUGAGGACUGCCAGCACGCUGUCACCUUUCAAAAGCACCCAGAAGGCAGUCGUAGACACUCCCUUGUCACUAACCACUUGCUGAUCCCUGAAGCCCAUCCACGGACCAAUUAUCUUGAAGGCCCACGUUGUCCAGCAGUGUCUGAGAUUUUAAUUUCCUGACCUGAAUCUGUAAGGAGAAAUAGAAGAUCAGGCGUGUGGUGCACGAGACAGAGAGAAAGCCAGAGAGAACCGUAUGUGCAACAGUGCAAGCGUCUGCCAUCUCAGAGAGUGGUGUGAGGCUUGAACUGCUAAAUAAAAAUGUGCUUUUCAAGGUUGAACCUAAGUCUGGCUGACUCCCAAGUCCAUGUCUUUUCACUACACCAUGCUGAGAAGUGGUUUUGAGGCCAAGUGGAAGGAGGCAGCUGGGGUAGGCUGGAGGACUUUCAGAGAUCACAGGCUUGCUGGCUCCUGUCAGAACAGGAAAAGAGCAUCCAUGCUGACAGCUACAUUUCACAGAAGAAGGAAAUAUGGCCCAGGGAGAGGAAGCCACUUGUUCAAGAUCACACAGCUUGUGAGAGGCAGGCUCCUCAUCCAGUUUUGCAGGGGUGGUGUAAAAAAGCAAAAGAAAAUGUCAUUUUACAUUGAACUGAAUUGAGAAAAUACUCAUGAACUUCUUAGGGAUGGAAAACAUUUUGCAGUUAGUACCUAUUUUUCCUACAUUGUGUGUGUGUGUGUGAGUGCCCACACACAUAUCAUACUUUUCCAAAGGAACUCAUAAAUGCCUCAUCUUAGUUCUGCUUCUCUGGUUUGAUCAAUAAGAAUUUUAAAGCAAUUAAUGCUUAAUUCUCCUAACAACUAGUUUUUAUUUUAUCCAAAGUAAAACUUCAAAAAAAUCUGUUUUAUUAAUAAUAGAAAUCAUAGCAAUAAUAUUAAUCACUGUUACGAUGUGACAGCAGAAACCUGUCAUCUUUUUAUGCCCAAUCCAAAUGGCAACUGGAAUAGAGUUAACAUGAGUACUAGCACCACCCUAAAUUCCCUGGUAGGUGGAAUUUACUCUCCCCUGCAACCUCCACCACAGUUAAGUUGUGUUUACUGGUAGUCUGCAAUGCAAUUUGGGAAACUUCUGUCAGCUACAUACAUUUUAAAUACAAUUCAGGCAGUGCAUAGACAUAGCCAAAGUGGAGCUUGAAGUCAGCUGAAAGAAGUCUGAAGGAGGGGCUCUUGCAUUAGGAAUAGGCCUGUUUUGACCACCACAGAAAUAUACCUCUUCGGUCCUAGAGCUGAAAAGAAUAUUAAAGUUUCAAUUAGACCAUUCUGCAACUUCAGAGAGAACCAUACUCAAGCCAACCCAAGCAAAAUCCAUCCUGAUAUUCUAGAUCAAAGAUCAACAAAUAUUUUCUGUAAAGCACCAGAUAGUAAGUAUUUUAGGCUUUCUGAGCCAUAGGGUCUCUGUCAUAACUACUCAAUUCUAUCCUUGUGGAAGAAAGCAGGCAUAGACAUUAGGCAAAUGAAUGGGCAUGACAGUUUUCCAGUAAAACUUUAUUUACAAAAACAGGUAGUAGGGCUGAAUUUCACUUACAGGCAGUGGUUUGCCAACUCAUGUUCUAAAUCUCUAGAAGAGAAAUUGCC
ensembl:lincRNA